rnacentral:rRNA from 1 species
UACGUAGGGUGCGAGCGUUAAUCGGAAUUACUGGGCGUAAAGCGUGCGCAGGCGGUUUUGUAAGCCAGAUGUGAAAUCCCCGGGCUCAACCUGGGAAUGGCAUUUGGGACUGCAAGGCUUGAGUGCGGCAGAGGAGACUGGAAUUCCUGGUGUAGCAGUGAAAUGCGUAGAUAUGCGGAGGAACACCGAUGGCGAAGGCAAUCCCCUGGGCCUGCACUGACGCUCAUGCACGAAAGCGUGGGGAGCAAACAGG